rnacentral:tRNA from 1 species
GGAGCGUUCGCAUAGCCUGGCCUAUUGCACUCCCCUGUCACGGGAGACUUCACGGGUUCGAAUCCCGUACGUUCCGCCA